CAUGCUUUUGGCUCAAUAUUUUUCCUCUUGAGCUAUACCACCAUUAAUUAUAAUCAACUCUUUCUUUCUCAAUACACCGACAUUCCUCUAAAACUUAUUCAUCACACCUCCAUAUUUUCUCUCAUCAAUGCCUUCUUCUCCUUCUUUUUCCACCUUAAUCAACAAAUUUUACGAACAAAUGCGUGCUCCGUCCUUGUAUUUUUGAGAAUUCUCUUCCUUCAAGAUCCCUCGUUGCUUAGCCUCCAACGACGGUUGCGAAGUGCUUUGAUGCAAUUAGAUCUAGAUCUAAUUAAGCAUUCAAGUUACGAAGUGCGUUAGUUACGCCUACGUUUGAAUUUCACAACUGGGCAAUAUCAAAAUUGGCUAAAUUGACACUAUUAAAAGGGAAUUUUGGAAUACCCAAUUUUCACACAGAGUUGCAAUUGAUUUGUUCCUUAUCUGAUGAAUCCAUGCAGAAAUUCCUUACCUGCGAAAUUCAGAGUGACCAAAAGUUCCAGGUCAUCGAACUUGCAGAAAAUUGAAUACUCAAGCCUUAUUGAUGUAAAUGUAGAAGUAAAUUUUAGGACUUCAAAUAUUUUUGUGUUAGUUUUGCUUAAAAGUUGUUUUUUUUUUUAAUUUAUUUUUGGGUAUCAUAUCAAAAUUUUUAUCCCAUGCUAUUUCAUAUGGUCUUAAAGUAUUGUAAGUACUUAAAAUUUAUUAAUUUUCCACCAAUUUGUGUAGCGACAAAAUAUUCAAUCUUCAAAUGCAAACCAUAUCAAACGCAAAAAAUAAUU